GAUGAACGCUAGCGGCAGGCUUAAUACAUGCAAGUCGAGGGGUAGCAAGAUUGUAGCAAUACAAUUGUUGACGACCGGCAAACGGGUGCGGAACACGUACACAACCUUCCUACAAGUGGGGAAUAGCCCAGAGAAAUUUGGAUUAAUACCCCGUAACAUAGCGAUGUGGCAUCACAUUGCUAUUAUAGCUUCGGCGCUUGUUGAUGGGUGUGCGGCUGAUUAGAUAGUUGGCGGGGUAACGGACCACCAAGUCUACGAUCAGUAGCUGAUGUGAGAGCAUGAUCAGCCACACGGGUACUGAGACACGGGCCCGACUCCUACGGGAGGCAGCAGUAAGGAAUAUUGGACAAUGGACGCAAGUCUGAUCCAGCCAUGCCGCGUGAAGGAUUAAGGUCCUCUGGAUUGUAAACUUCUUUUAUAAGGGACGAAAAAAGGUCUUUCUAGAUCGUCUGACGGUACCUUAUGAAUAAGCACCGGCUAACUCCGUGCCAGCCGCCGCCGUAAAAC
rnacentral:rRNA from 1 species